GGGUAGUAUGCUGCUGUCUUUAGAAUAUCUGGAUGAAGUUUAUCUCUGCAAGGUGGCAAGAACAUCAAGAGUACUAUGGUGGCUUCUCUGCUGGGUUAAGGCUUCUUCUGGGGUGAUUUGAUAUCAAUACUCUUGAUGGUUUUGCCACCUUUGCAGAUCAUGAGCUCCAUUCUCAGCUUCUCAGGGCAGCAGCAUACUACUU